AUUGGAAUUUGUAUCGUGUUAUUUUUGUGUAAUAUUAAAGAGCACCAAUAGGUGAUGCUGCACAUCAAUUCUGAAUUAGUGACUUUCUUCCUUUGGAGUUACUUAAAGGAUAUAUACAACAAAAAUCUCAAAACACUUGAGAAACUUGAACAAUUAAUUACCAAUACAUGUAUUAUCAUUCCAGUCACAUUGCAAAAGAUUACAGUGAAUUUGUUCAGUACAAUCUUUUGCAGUGUGUCAAGAUUCAGUGUUUUGUUUUUCAACUACAUCAUGUGAUUGCUGCUGAUGGUAAACAUUUGUGAUUUAAAUUUCAUCAAUUGCCUGUAUUGGACACAAAAGAUUGAGUAUGUGCAACCCCAUCUAUUGGUUCUUUUUGGUACUAUACAGAAAUAGCAUGACUUAGAUUUUAACCCUUGUCAUACAAAUAUUCCAUAAGAAAUAAAUCACUAUCAUACAGGUGUUCUGAACAAAACACCCUGUGUUAUACCUGGGAAAAUAAAUGGAGCUAUUUAAGUUUUAGACAGGGCAUUAACUAGGCAUCCAAUGAGAGAUAGAAACAAGCAUUAGUGAAGCAU
rnacentral:lncRNA from 1 species